GAUUAGCCAUGCAUGUCUAAGUACAUGCCGUAUUAAGGCGAAACCGCGAAUGGCUCAUUAAAUCAGUCAUGGUUCCUUGGAUCGUACCUUACUACUUGGAUAACUGUGGCAAUUCUAGAGCUAAUACAUGCAGCAGAGCUCCGACCUUCGGGGACGAGCGCUUUUAUUAGACCAAAACCAAUCGGACCUCGUGUCCGUCCUUUGUGGUGACUCUGUAUAACUUUGGGCUGAUCGCACGGGCCUGUCCCGGCGACGUAUCUUUCAAGUGUCUGCCUUAUCAACUUUCGAUGGUAGGUUACGCGCCUACCAUGGUCGUAACGGGUAACGGGGAAUCAGGGUUCGAUUCCGGAGAGGGAGCCUGAGAAACGGCUACCACAUCCAAGGAAGGCAGCAGGCGCGCAAAUUACCCACUCCCAGAACGGGGAGGUAGUGACGAAAAAUAACAAUACGGGACUCUUUUGAGACCCCGUAAUUGGAAUGAGUACACUCUAAAUCCUUUAACGAGGAUCCAUUGGAGGGUAAGUCUGGUGCCAGCAACCGCGGUAAUUCCAGCUCCAAUAGCGUAUAUUAAAGUUGUUGCGGUUAAAAAGCUCGUAGUUGGAUCUCAGUUCCAGACGGGUGGUCCUCCUACCGGUGGCUACUGCCUGUUCUGAACAGUCAGCCGGUUUCUCUUGAUGAUCUUCACCGGUUGUCUUGGGUGACCGGCAAGUUUACUUUGAAAAAAUUAGAGUGCUCAAAGCAGGCGUGACGCCUGAAUAAUGGUGCAUGGAAUAAUGGAAUAGGACCUCGGUUCUAUUUUGUUGGUUUUCGGAACACGAGGUAAUGAUUAAGAGGGACAGACGGGGGCAUUCGUAUUGCGACGCUAGAGGUGAAAUUCUUGGACCGUCGCAAGACGAACUACUGCGAAAGCAUUUGCCAAGAAUGUUUCCAUUAAUCAAGAACGAAAGUUAGAGGUUCGAAGGCGAUCAGAUACCGCCCUAGUUCUAACCAUAAACGAUGCCAGCCAGCGAUCCGGCUGUGU
rnacentral:rRNA from 1 species